CCUACGGGGGGCUGCAGUGGGGAAUAUUGCACAAUGGGGGAAACCCUGAUGCAGCAACGCCGCGUGAGCGAUGAAGGCCUUCGGGUCGUAAAGCUCUGUCCUAAGGGAAGAAUACUGACGGUACCUUAGGAGGAAGCCCCGGCUAACUACGUGCCAGCAGCCGCGGUAAUACGUAGGGGGCGAGCGUUAUCCGGAAUCAUUGGGCGUAAAGGGUGCGUAGGCGGUUAUGCAAGUUAGGGGUGAAAGGCUACGGCUCAACCGUAGUAAGCCUUUAAAACUGCAUAACUUGAGUGCAGGAGAGGAGAGUGGAAUUCCUAGUGUAGCGGUGAAAUGCGUAGAUAUUAGGAGGAACACCAGUGGCGAAGGCGACUCUCUGGACUGUAACUGACGCUGAGGCACGAAAGCGUGGGGAGCGAACAGGAUUAGAUACCCGUGUAGUC
rnacentral:rRNA from 1 species